GAAGAAAGAAAUCCUUACAAGCUGAAGAAGAGAAAAGACUGAAAGCAGCUUCUCAGCAUCAGAUCUGUUCUCUUCGUUAUCUUCUUGCCCUCUCAACUCGCUCUCUCACCCGCUCCCCAACUCGCAUUUCUUCGCUGAAUCGACUCGCUUAACGUCCACUGUGUCUAUCUAUCCAUUUUCAGAUAGGCCUCGGAGGUUGAUUGUUUUCGCUGCAUUGGAAGGACCGAUCGCGGGAAUGUUGAUUUUCUGUCUAGUUAGGCUGCUGUUCUGGUGACGGACUGGAUUUUCAGGCGAAUUCGCAGGUGGUGCUCCGCCGGAGAAGAUGUUCAGGUCGGCGAGAUGGAGGAACGAGAAGAACAAGAUCAAAGCUGUGUUCAAAUUGCAGUUCCAUGCUACUCAGCUGAAUGUGGAGGCAUUGGUGAUAUCUGUGGUCCCUGGGGACGUUGGAAAGCCAACGGCACGGUUAGAGAAGGGUAUAAUCCGAGAGGGAAGCUUUCAGUGGGAAUAUCCAGUCUAUGAAACCGUGAAAUUUACUCAAGAUGCAAGAACAGGGAAGAUCAAUGAGAGAAGAUACCAUUUCAUUGUCUCAGCAGGAUUGUCAAAAAACAGUUUGGUUGGAGAA
rnacentral:misc_RNA from 1 species